GAAGGGUUCGGCGAACGUGAGGGGUCAGCCAUCAAGAGUAUUGGGAUGACAGAGAAUAUUGCUGUUCCCAUAGGAAGCCCCGUAGAAGGCCUCACACGGCAAGGUUGACAUGAGUCCGGAUCUGCGUGGGUUUCAUUCGAUAUAUCCCCCACCCGCGUUGGUAUUGAAGGAACCCAUCAGACUUCUCCGGGUUAUUGAUCUUUUGAAGACAAAAAGGCGUCCAGAAAAAGGUUGAAUCGAUCCUGAGCAUUCCCCACAAUUUGAUAACCCAGCAUCCCCAUGUUGGAUCCGCAAGGAGAGAAAACGGGUAACAUCUCGCAAAGUCCAACUUCUUUUCGCAUAUCAGCGUAAUGGCUAAGAUUCUUCUCCAAACUUCUCCCACCUCAUAUCAACAGUUCUCUCUUCCCG
rnacentral:sRNA from 1 species